rnacentral:rRNA from 1 species
GGGAACGUGCCCUUCGGUUCGGAAUAACUCAGGGAAACUUGAGCUAAUACCGGAUACGCCCUUUUGGGGAAAGGUUUACCGCCGAAGGAUCGGCCCGCGUCUGAUUAGCUUGUUGGUGGGGUAACGGCCUACCAAGGCGACGAUCAGUAGCUGGUCUGAGAGGAUGAUCAGCCACACUGGGACUGAGACACGGCCCAGACUCCUACGGGAGGCAGCAGUGGGGAAUAUUGGACAAUGGGCGCAAGCCUGAUCCAGCCAUGCCGCGUGAGUGAUGAAGGCCUUAGGGUUGUAAAGCUCUUUUGUCCGGGACGAUAAUGACGGUACCGGAAGAAUAAGCCCCGGCUAACUUCGUGCCAGCAGCCGCGGUAAUACGAAGGGGGCUAGCGUUGCUCGGAAUCACUGGGCGUAAAGGGCGCGUAGGCGGCCGAUUAAGUCGGGGGUGAAAGCCUGUGGCUCAACCACAGAAUUGCCUUCGAUACUGGUUGGCUUGAGACCGGAAGAGGACAGCGGAACUGCGAGU